ACAAAUGAAGCAUAAUAUGCCUUUCGCUUACACCGAAAAGAUGGCCUUUUGAGCCCAUUUGUU
rnacentral:tRNA from 1 species